AGAGUUUGAUCCUGGCUCAGAUUGAACGCUGGCGGCAUGCCUUACACAUGCAAGUCGAACGGUAGAGUAGCAAUACUUGAGAGUGGCGAACGGGUGAGUGAUAUAUCGGAACGUGCCCAGUCGUGGGGGAUAACGUAGAGAAAUUUACGCUAAUACCGCAUACGAUCUAAGGAUGAAAGCGGGGGACUCGCAAGAGCCUCGCGCGAUUGGAGCGGCUGAUAUCAGAUUAGGUUGUCGGUGAGGUAAAAGCUCACCAAGCCGACGAUCUGUAGCUGGUUUGAGAGAACGACCAGCCACACUGGGACUGAGACACGGCCCAGACUCCUACGGGAGGCAGCAGUGGGGAAUUUUGGACAAUGGGCGAAAGCCUGAUCCAGCAAUGCCGCGUGUGGGAAGAAGGCCUUCGGGUUGUAAACCACUUUUGUACGGAACGAAACGGUCUGCAUUAAUACGGUGGGCCCAUGACGGUACCGUAAGAAUAAGCACCGGCUAACUACGUGCCAGCAGCCGCGGUAAUACGUAGGGUGCGAGCGUUAAUCGGAAUUACUGGGCGUUAAGCGUGCGCAGGCGGUGAUGUUAAACAGUUUGUGAAAAUCCCCGGGCUCAACCUGGGAAUUGCGUCUUGUGACUGCAUCGCUUAGAGUACGG
rnacentral:rRNA from 1 species